rnacentral:rRNA from 1 species
UGGGGAAUUUUGGACAAUGGGGGAAACCCUGAUCCAGCCAUCCCGCGUGUGCGAUGAAGGCCUUCGGGUUGUAAAGCACUUUUGGCAGGAAAGAAACGUCAUGGGUUAAUACCCCGUGAAACUGACGGAACCUGCAGAAUAAGCACCGGCUAACUACGUGCCAGCAGCCGCGGUAAUACGUAGGGUGCAAGCGUUAAUCGGAAUUACUGGGCGUAAAGCGUGCGCAGGCGGUUCGGAAAGAAAGAUGUGAAAUCCCAGAGCUCAACUUUGGAACUGCAUUAUUGACUACCGGGCUAGAGUGUGUCAGAGGGAGGUGGAAUUCCGCGUGUAGCAGUGAAAUGCGUAGAUAUGCGGAGGAACACCGAUGGCGAAGGCAGCCUCCUGGGAUAACACUGACGCUCAUGCACGAAAGCGUGGGGAGCAAACAGG